CAUAGAUACUAGUCAUGCUGGUGUAGUCUAUAGCUGAGCUGGUUAAACUGUAGUAGGGUCCACAUAGAUACUAGUCAUGCUGGUGUAGUCUAUAGCUGAGCUGGUUAAACUGUAGUAGGGUCCACAUAGAUACUAGUCAUGCUGGUGUAAUCUAUAGCUGAGCUGGUUAAACUGGGUCCACAUAGAUACUAGUCAUGCUGGUGUAGUCUAUAGCUGAGCUGGUUAAACUGUAGUAGGGUCCACAUAGAUACUAGUCACGCUGGUGUAGUCUAUAGCUGAGCUGGUUAAACUGUAGUAGGGUCCACAUAGAUACUAGUGAUGCUGGUGUAGUCUAUAGCUGAGCUGGUUAAACUGUAGUAGGGUCCACAUAGAUACUAGUCAUGCUGGUGUAGUCUAUAGCUGAGCUGGUUAAACUGUAGUAGGGUCAACAUAGAUACUAGUCAUGCUGGUGUAGUCUAUAGCUGAGCUGGUUAAACUGUAGUAGGGUCCACAUAGAUAUAGUCAUGCUGGUGUAGUCUAUAGCUGAGCUGGUUAAACUGUAGUAGGGUCCACAUAGAUACUAGUCAUGCGGGUGUAGUCUAUAGCUGAGCUGGUUAAACUGUAGUAGGGUCCACAUAGAUACUAGUCAUGCUGGUGUAGUUUAUAGCUGAGCUGGUUAAACUGUAGUAGGGUCCACAUAGAUACUAGUCAUGCUGGUGUAGUCUAUAGCUGAGCUGGUUAAACUGUAGUAGGGUCCACAUAGAUACUAGUCAUGCUGGUGUAGUCUAUAGCUGAGCUGGUUAAACUGUAGUAGGGUCCACAUAGAUACUAGUCAUGCUGGUGUAGUCUAAAGCUGAGCUGGUUAAACUGUAGUAGGGUCCACAUAGAUACUAGUCAUGCUGGUGUCGUCUAUAGCUGAGCUGGUUAAACUGUAGUAGGGGUCCACAUAGAUACUAGUCACGCUGGUGUAGUCUAUAGCUGAGCUGGUUAAACUGUAGUAGGGUCCACAUAGAUACUAGUGAUGCUGGUGUAGUCUAUAGCUGAGCUGGUUAAACUGUAGUAGGGUCCACAUAGAUACUAGUCAUGCUGGUGUAGUCUAUAGCUGAGCUGGUUAAACUGUAGUAGGGUCAACAUAGAUACUAGUCAUGCUGGUGUAGUCUAUAGCUGAGCUGGUUAAACUGGUA
rnacentral:lncRNA from 1 species